rnacentral:rRNA from 1 species
ACACUCCUGCGGGAGGCAGCAGUGGGGAAUAUUGGACAAUGGGCGCAAGCCUGAUCCAGCCAUGCCGCGUGAGUGAUGAAGGCCCUAGGGUUGUAAAGCUCUUUCACCGGUGAAGAUAAUGACGGUAACCGGAGAAGAAGCCCCGGCUAACUUCGUGCCAGCAGCCGCGGUAAUACGAAGGGGGCUAGCGUUGUUCGGAUUUACUGGGCGUAAAGCGCACGUAGGCGGACUAUUAAGUCAGGGGUGAAAUCCCGGGGCUCAACCCCGGAACUGCCUUUGAUACUGGUAGUCUUGAGUUCGAGAGAGGUGAGUGGAAGUCCGAGGGUAGAGGUGAAAUUCGUAGAUAUUCGGAGGAACACCAGUGGCGAAGGCGGCUCACUGGCUCGAUACUGACGCUGAGGUGCGAAAGCGUGGGGAGCAAACAGGAUUAGAAACCCGAGUAGUCCCAUGA